UUAAACACUGUGAAGAGGGAAAGUAGAUUAUAUGAGGCUUUACAGAGAGGAACUCCUAGGCUGAGAGAGUUCUAAGCUGAAUAUAAUUGAAGUGCCCCUUGGAGUGUUAGGCCGAAAUUAAAGUAGGCUGUUACGGGUUCUCCCGUUAUAGAGAUAGGGCAUGUUGGUGCCUGAAGACGAGAUGGGCUUUUUUGCCUAAGCAGAGUGGAACCGCGGAAGUAUACCUUCUGCCUCUGUA
rnacentral:ncRNA from 1 species